UACAGGGGGUGCAAACGUUGCUCGGAAUCAUUGGGCGUAAAGCGCACGUAGGCGGUUCGUUAUGUCGGAUGUGAAAGCCCUUGGCUUAACCGAGGAAGUGCAUCCGAAACUGGCGAUCUAGAGUACUAAAGAGGAUCGCGGAAUUCCCGGUGUAGAGGUGAAAUUCGUAGAUAUCGGGAGGAACACCGGUGGCGAAGGCGGCGAUCUGGGUAGAUACUGACGCUGAGGUGCGAAAGCGUGGGGAGCAAACAGG
rnacentral:rRNA from 1 species